rnacentral:rRNA from 1 species
CCUACGGGGGGCAGCAGUGAGGAAUAUUUGUCAAUGGGAGAGAUCCUGAACCAGCAAAGCCGCGUGAGGGAAGACGGCCCUAUGGGUUGUAAACCUCUUUUGACGGGGGAAAAAACCCGGGACGUGUCCCGGACUGCGUGUAUCCGAAGAAAAAGCAUCGGCUAACUCCGUGCCAGCAGCCGCGGUAAUACGGAGGAUGCGAGCGUUAUCCGGAUUUAUUGGGAUUAAAGGGUGCGUAGGCGGUCCGUUAAGUCAGCGGUAAAAUGGCGGGGCGCAACCCCGUCGAGCCGUUGAAACUGGCAGACUUGAGUUGGCGAGAAGUAAGCGGAAUGCGCGGUGUAGCGGUGAAAUGCAUAGAUAU